rnacentral:rRNA from 1 species
ACUCAAAUGAAUUGACGGGGACCCGCACAAGCGGUGGAGCGUGCGGUUUAAUUCGAUGGCACGCGCAGAACCUUACCAGGGAUUGACAUCUCCCUAAGUUCGCCGAAAGGCGGAUGUGCUUCGCAAGAAGAUGGGAAGACAGGUGAUGCAUGGCCGUCGUCAGCUCGUGUCGUGAGAUGUAGGGUUAAGUCCCUUAACGAGCGCAACCCUCGUUGUAAGUUAUUUUGUCUUACAAGACUGCCUCGGCAACGGGGAGGAAGGAGAGGAUGACGUCUGGUCCGCAUUUCCCUUAUGCUCUGGGCUACACGCACGCUACAAUGGCCGGUACAAUGGGUUGCCAACCCGCAAGGGGGAGCUAAUCCCACCAAAGCCGGUCCAAGUUCGGAUUGCAGGCUGAAACUCGCCUGCAUGAAGUCGGAAUCGCUAGUAAACGUAGGUCAGCACACUACGUUGAAUACGUUCCCGGGUCUUGUACACACCGCCCGU